UACAGAGGGUGCAAGCGUUAAUCGGAAUUACUGGGCGUAAAGCGUGCGUAGACGGUUAUGUAAGUCGGAUGUGAAAGCCCCGGGCUCAACCUGGGAAUUGCAUUCGAGACUGCAUAGCUAGGAUGCGGAAGAGGGAAGUGGAAUUUCCGGUGUAGCGGUGAAAUGCGUAGAUAUCGGAAGGAACAUCAGUGGCGAAAGCGACUUCCUGGUCCAGCAUCGACGUUCAGGCACGAAAGCGUGGGGAGCAAACAGG
rnacentral:rRNA from 1 species